UACGUAGGGUGCAAGCGUUAAUCGGAAUUACUGGGCGUAAAGCGUGCGCAGGCGGUUUUGUAAGACUGUCGUGAAAUCCCCGGGCUCAACCUGGGAAUGGCGAUGGUGACUGCAAGGCUGGAGUUUGGCAGAGGGGGGUAGAAUUCCACGUGUAGCAGUGAAAUGCGUAGAUAUGUGGAGGAACACCGAUGGCGAAGGCAGCCCCCUGGGUCAAAACUGACGCUCAUGCACGAAAGCGUGGGGAGCAAACAGG
rnacentral:rRNA from 1 species